rnacentral:rRNA from 1 species
GCUAGUAAUCGCGGAUCAGCAUGCUGCGGUGAAUACGUUCCCGGGCCUUGUACACACCGCCCGUCACACCAUGGGAGUCGGUAACACCCGAAGCCUGUAGUCUAACCGCAAGGAGGACGCAGUCGAAGGUGGGAUUGAUGACUGGGGUGAAGUCGUAACAAGGUAUC